rnacentral:rRNA from 1 species
UACGUAGGGUGCAAGCGUUAAUCGGAAUUACUGGGCGUAAAGCGUGCGCAGGCGGCUAUGCAAGACAGAUGUGAAAUCCCCGGGCUCAACCUGGGAACUGCAUUGUGACUGCAUGGCUGGAGUACGGCAGAGGGGGAUGGAAUUCCGCGUGUAGCAGUGAAAUGCGUAGAUAUGCGGAGGAACACCGAUGGCGAAGGCAAUCCCCUGGGCCUGUACUGACGCUCAUG